rnacentral:rRNA from 1 species
UACGGAGGGAGCUAGCGUUGUUCGGAAUUACUGGGCGUAAAGCGCACGUAGGCGGCUACUCAAGUCAGAGGUGAAAGCCCGGGGCUCAACCCCGGAACUGCCUUUGAAACUAGGUAGCUAGAAUCCUGGAGAGGUCAGUGGAAUUCCGAGUGUAGAGGUGAAAUUCGUAGAUAUUCGGAAGAACACCAGUGGCGAAGGCGGCUCACUGGCCCGGUACUGACGCUGAGGUGCGAAAGCGUGGGGAGCGAACAGG